rnacentral:rRNA from 1 species
GACGAACGCUGGCGGCGUGCUUAACACAUGCAAGUCGAACGGAAAGGCCUCUUUCGGGGGGUACUCGAGUGGCGAACGGGUGAGUAACACGUGAGUAACCUGCCCUUUACUUUGUGAUAACUUCAGGAAACUGUGGCUAAUACCGGAUAGGAGCUCCUGCUGCAUGUUGGGGGUUUGAAAGUUUCGGCGGUUGGGGAUGGACUCUCGGCUUAUCAGCUUGUUGGGGUGGUAGUGGCUUACCAAGGCUUUUACGGGUAUCCGGCCUGAGAGGGUGACCGGCCACAUUGGGACUGAGAUAAGGGCCAGACUCCUACGGGAGGCAGCAGUGGGGAAUAUUGCAAAAUGGGUGGAAGCCUGAUGCAGCCACGCCGUGUGCGGGAUGAAGGCCUUCGGGUUGUAAAACGCUUUCGCUCAUGACGAAGCUUUGUGUGACGGUAGUGGGUAAAGAAGCACCGGCUAACUACGUG